rnacentral:rRNA from 1 species
AGAGUUUGAUCCUGGCUCAGGAUGAACGCUAGCUACAGGCUUAACACAUGCAAGUCGAGGGGCAGCAUGGUCUUAGCUUGCUAAGGCCGAUGGCGACCGGCGCACGGGUGAGUAACACGUAUCCAACCUGCCGUCUACUCUUGGACAGCCUUCUGAAAGGAAGAUUAAUACAAGAUGGCAUCAUGAGUCCACAUGUUCACAUGAUUAAAGGUAUUCCGGUAGACGAUGGGGAUGCGUUCCAGUUAGAUAGUAGGCGGGUAACGGCCCACCUAGUCUUCGAUGGAUAGGGGUUCCUGAGAGGAAGGUCCCCGACAUUGGAACUGAGACACGGUCCAAACUCCUACGGAGGCA